rfam:Xenopus tropicalis strain Nigerian Chr09_contig_31, whole genome shotgun sequence.
ACAAAGGCUCUUCUAAGAGCCACCCAUUUUCUCACUAUAAGAUCUGU